rnacentral:rRNA from 1 species
UACGUAGGGGGCAAGCGUUGUCCGGAUUUAUUGGGCGUAAAGCGCGCGCAGGCGGUUUCUUAAGUCUGAUGUGAAAGCCCUCGGCUUAACCGAGGAGGGUCAUUGGAAACUGGGAGACUUGAGUGCAGAAGAGGAAAGUGGAAUUCCAAGUGUAGCGGUGAAAUGCGUAGAGAUUUGGAGGAACACCAGUGGCGAAGGCGACUUUCUGGUCUGUAACUGACGCUGAGGCGCGAAAGCGUGGGGAGCAAACAGG